rnacentral:tRNA from 1 species
GGAGAGAUGGCCGAGUGGUCGAAGGCGCUUGACUCGAAAUCAAGUAUACGUUUACGCGUAUCUAGGGUUCGAAUCCCUAUCUCUCCGCCA